UUUACGUGCAUGUUUACCGUACAUGUUUACCAUGCAUGUUUAUGUGCAUGUUUACGUGCAUGUUUACCGUACAUGUUUACCGUACAUGUUUACCAUACAUGUUUACCGUACAUGUUUACCGUACAUGUUUAUAUGGCAUGUUUACCGUACAUGUUUACCGUACAUGUUUAUAUGGCAUGUUUACCCUACAUUUUUACCGUACAUGUUUACCGUGCAU
rnacentral:lncRNA from 1 species